CAACAGCGUAUAUUAAAGUUGUUGCGGUUAAAAGAGCUCGUAGUUGGAUUUCUGCUGAGGACGACCGGCCCGCCCUGCUUCAAAGCCCCGACAGAACAAUUUGAACGUUUGUUUUCCUUGUUUUCCUUGUUUCGAGGCCCCAACCGAACAAUUUGAACGCGUUCGUUUUCUUCCUUGUUCGCUGUUUUCAUGCGAGAACGCUUUGAAAACAAGACAAUCAUCAGUUGGGGGCAUUCGUAUUUCAUUGCCAGAGGUGAAAUUCUUGGAUUUGUUAAAGACGGACUACUGCGAAAGCAUUUGCCAAGGAUGUUUUCAUUGAUUAAGAAUGAAAGUUAAAGGGAUCGAAGAUGAUCAGAUACC
rnacentral:rRNA from 1 species